GCUAGACAGUGUGGGUUUAUAUGUUCAAGAUUGUGUUAACUCAUGAGACAAAUGGAAGGUAUUACCGGUAUCUGGAUCAGGCAAAUUUAAGGCUCUUUUCUCCUCCUCCAUCGGAAGAUAACAUACAAGGAAAACACGGGGAAGCAAUUGGCAUAUCACCACACUUUGGAUGACAGUGAAUCAGCUUACGGUAACUCAAAGAGUCUCAUGUUUUCUAUUUCAGUUGCUUUUCUUUUAACUAUUACCAAACAUACCGUACCGUACUUCUGUGUACCUGCCAAGUUUGCUUUCCUUCCCUCUGCUGUUCCUAAAGGAAAUAAAAUACUUUGGAAUUUUUAUGAGGAAAUGUCUUGGAACCAAGCACACUUUCUGAACACAGCGUUGCAUGCCACCUGCUGUUUUAUCGGUCUCUUAGUGAGAGGAUGCCUUCAAGAUUUCCCCCCUUUUCAGAGCGCAUCCAGGCUUCCUUUUGCACCACACGUUCUAGGCACAGAUGUGCACUUUAAAACCCCUUGUCCAAAAGGUGGUUUUUGUUUCGUUUUUUGAUCACAGCACUUUCCUUGGGAGCGCCUGCGUUUUGCCACUGAAUCAAAGCAAAUGGCAACCUGUGGGAAAACCUGGUUGCUGUUUGCCCCAAUUUAGUGACAGAAUGUGGAUUUUCCUUGGGAAUUAGCUGUGACAAAAAAAAAGCCACCACUCAGACAUGGACCUGGAAAGCCUGGACUUGUGCCUAGAGACACAGCACAAAAGGAAGUGUGCAUUAGCCUUCAGUGUAAGGUGUAACUUUACAUUCAUGGUGAUUCAUGAUACCUUCAGGUCCCACUCUUUGAAAAUUUCAGAUUAUUUCAUCAGUGUUUAAAAACAUGGCAUAAGUAACAAAUAGGUGCAUGGUCUGUAGUUUCCAGCAAAUAUCCAGAAACUAUUCAUACCAGUUUUUUAUUUUUAUUGCCACUUUUGAUAUGUUAUGGAGCCAUGGCAUAGCCACUCCCACAUACUUCCUGUUGAAGCUGUUUUUGUGGACCUGAGGGCUCGUCCACACUCCUUUCCCCUGGGAAAACCUGCUCUUCCUCACUGAAGUGGAGCAUGUCACUCAGACUUUUGGCCCUUAAAUUGAAGGCUAGUAUUCUUGCCUCUUUUAGU